UACGGAGGGGGCUAGCGUUGUUCGGAAUUACUGGGCGUAAAGCGCACGUAGGCGGCUUUGUAAGUUAGAGGUGAAAGCCCGGGGCUCAACUCCGGAAUUGCCUUUAAGACUGCAUCGCUAGAAUUGUGGAGAGGUAAGUGGAAUUCCGAGUGUAGAGGUGAAAUUCGUAGAUAUUCGGAAGAACACCAGUGGCGAAGGCGGUUCUCUGGGCCUUACCUGACGCUGAGGAGCGAAAGCGUGGGGAGCGAACAGG
rnacentral:rRNA from 1 species